GAGAGGCGGAUAUGAGAAGACAUGGAGUAGAGGAAUCCUAACACUAUUCAUCACCAUCUUCAUUCAUUACUUUUGAUAUGGAGUUUCGAUUGACGAGUCGUUUGGGCCAUACGUCGCUCUCCUCAUCAUCUUCAAUUCUAUGUAAACAUUGUGCUUUGCAUAGCAAGAAGAGCUUGUGAUUUGUCGGUGAGAAGAAAUGUACAGGUAAAAUGAGUACAUGCAUCAACAAAUGAAAUAUAGUAUCUGAAUCCACUUCUAGAUGUAAUAGGUAAUGGACCCUAAGUGUCAAUAAAGACUAGUUCCAAAGGAGAAUUGUAAAUUGCCAUAUUUCAACAAAAUUCACUUAUUGUAGAAUCAUGGUUAUUAAUAUGUACUGGAAUUAAGCAUUUAUUCAAAACUGAUUUAACAAUUGGGACUGCACAAUAGCUUAAACAUUUGUGCCAGAGUUCCAUGGUUAUAUCUCUAUGACUUUUAGCAAUAAGAGCUUUCUUAGAUUGUA